AAGAAUGUAAUUUAAUUGGUAAAAUUUCGAAUUCCAAAUUCGCCUAUUGUGGGUUCAAUUCCUACCAUUCUUG
rnacentral:tRNA from 1 species